CAGCAUGGAGGAUUAUACUGGAUGUAUUUUCCUCUAAAGGCAACGUCUAAGGAUGAGUUGGCGGCCGAUUAGGUUGUUGGCGAGAUAAAUGCUCACCAAGCCAAAGAUCGGUACGGGUCUUGAAAGAGAUAACCCGGAGAAGGGCACUGAGACACUGGCCCUAGCCCUACGGGGUGCAGCAGGCGCGAAACCUUUACAAUGCACGCAAGUGUGAUAAGGGGACCCCAAGUGCUAAUGUUAUACAUUGGCUUUUGCUAAGAGUAAAUAUCUUGGCGAAUAAGUGGUGGGAAAGACUGGUGCCAGCCGCCGCGGUAACACCAGCGCCACGAGUGGGAAUCGUUUAUUUGGUCUAAAGCGUCCGUAGCUGGUUGUAUAAAUCUUUUGUGAAAUCGUUAGGCCUAACUUAACGACGUGCAGGAGACACUAUAUAGCUAGGGACCAGGAGGGGUUAGAAGUAUUCUUAGGGGAGCGGUAAAAUGCUAUAAUCCUGAGAAGACUACCUGUGGCGAAGGCGUCUAACCAGAAUGGAUCCGACAGUGAGGGACGAAAGCGAGGGGAGCAAACCGGAUUAGAUACCCGAGUAGUCCUCGCCGUAAACGCUACGAGCUAGGUGUUGCAUAUUCUUCGAGAAUAUGCAGUGUCGAAACGAA
rnacentral:rRNA from 1 species